rnacentral:rRNA from 1 species
GUCUAAGUACAUGCCGUAUUAAGGCGAAACCGCGAAUGGCUCAUUAAAUCAGUUAUGGUUCCUUGGAUCGUACCUUACUACUUGGAUAACUGUGGCAAUUCUAGAGCUAAUACAUGCAGCAGAGCUCCGACCUUCGGGGACGAGCGCUUUUAUUAGACCAAAACCAAUCGGACCUCGUGUCCGUACGAUGUGGUGACUCUGUAUAACUUUGGGCUGAUCGCACGGGCCUGUCCCGGCGACGUAUCUUUCAAGUGUCUGCCUUAUCAACUGUCGAUGGUAGGUUACUCGCCUACCAUGGUCGUAACGGGUGACGGGGAAUCAGGGUUCGAUUCCGGAGAGGGAGCCUGAGAAACGGCUACCACAUCCAAGGAAGGCAGCAGGCGCGCAAAUUACCCACUCCCGGAACGGGGAGGUAGUGACGAAAAAUAACAAUACGGGACUCUUUUGAGACCCCGUAAUUGGAAUGAGUACACUCUAAAUCCUUUAACGAGGAUCCAUUGGAGGGCAAGUCUGGUGCCAGCAGCUGCGGUAAUUCCAGCUCCAAUAGCGUAUAUUAAAGUUGUUGCGGUUAAAAAGCUCGUAGUUGGAUCUCAGUUCCAGACGGGUGGUCUGCCUACCGGUGGUUACUGCCCGUUCUGAACAGCCAGCCGGUUUCCCUUGAUGAUCUUCACCGGUUGUCUUGGGUGACCGGCAAGUUUACUUUGAAAAAAUUAGAGUGCUCAAAGCAGGCGUGACGCCUGAAUAAUGGUGCAUGGAAUAAUGGAAUAGGACCUCGGUUCUAUUUUGUUGGUUUUCGGAACACGAGGUAAUGAUUAAGAGGGACAGACGGGGGCAUUCGUAUUGCGACGCUAGAGGUGAAAUUCUUGGACCGUCGCAAGACGAACUACUGCGAAAGCAUUUGCCAAGAAUGUUUCCAUUAAUCAAGAACGAAAGUUAGAGGUUCGAAGGCGAUCAGAUACCGCCCUAGUUCUAACCAUAAACGAUGCCAGCCAGCGAUCCGGCUGUGUUCC